GCACCACCUGUCGGUACGCCCGGCGCGCGGCCGGGGGCGGACGCCCCGCCCGGCUCCCGAGGAGCGGACAACGGCGGCAGCCCGAGGUCCCGGGACGAUGCGAGCUUUACCGGAGGGUGGGCCCCACGCAGGCUGUGUCGGUGCUCUCAAUCUCCUGCAGGAUCCGUUCAUGCUCGGGGACGGUGCCCAGACCCUCGCUAUUCUCCGCCAUCUUGGCUGGAAGCUGAGGAGCCGUUCCCCCAUGGAGUUCUGCAUGUGGCUGAAAGCUGGAAGGAUUUUAAAACUAGACAAUGCUGAAGCUCUGAAGCCAUUGGAAAGAAUUCAGGAUUAGUUACAAAGUAGCAUCCCAAACAGGUCUAAGCAUAAGCCCCUCUCUGGAGCCGGCUUGAUAAUGGCCAUCCUUCACCUUCUGCCGUGUUGGUGCAAUGACCUCAAGUGGCCACACUCAGUAAGUGCAUGAGAAUUAUGAACCAAGCCCAGCCAGGUCUCCGAGAAUUCCUGCUGCAAAAACCAUGUCCAGGAAUCUGAUGUUCCAUAAAGAUCUGGACCCUGUGGUGGAGAACAAUAGAAGGAAAUUUGAAGUUGGAGCCAAAUAAAGUCAGUUUUUCUGAAAUAUGGGCCAGUCUUUAGAGAAAUUCAAAAGUAAUUAGCCCCAUGUUCUGUUCAUUCAACAACUGUUUUUACUGAAUGCUUGCUGUGUGUCAGGCUCUGUGCUAAGCUCUUAGAGCUGGUUCAUCAGUAUGUGACCUAUGCGGUUGCUUGUGGCUUAAUGCUAUGCCAUCUCCAUCUUGUAAUUUUUAAUAAUUUCUAAACAAAGGGGCCUGCAUUUUCAUUUUGUAUUGGAUCUGAUAACUGGUGUUGUUAGUCUUACCCUCAGAACAAUGUCCUAAAAGGUCCAUUGGCUCACUCAUCCCAAAGCUAAACAUUUUCAAGUCUGUCAAGCAAUUGAAGAGCAAUAUUUUCUCUGAAUUUCAUUCUAGCUUUUCCUUCCUCUUCCCUCUCACGUCUAGCUUAUAACAUCAAUUGUUUUCUUCUCUUUUUUCUCCUCAUUGCUGGUGUUUCUCUUCAUCCUUAUUGUACUCUCUAUUCCUCACUCCUGUCCCACUUAGCUUCCCUUUAGUCCUUUUGCCCUUUCUCCCCUCCUCCUCUCAUCCUAUUUUUCUUCUCUCAGCAAAAUGGAUUUAGAAAUGUAACUAGUGUAGGGGCGACUGGGUGCUCAGGUUGAGUGUCUGCCUUUGGCUCAGGUUGUGAUCCUGGGGUCCUGGGAUUGAGUCUUGCAUUGGGCUCCCCAUGGGGAGCCUGCUCCUCCCUCUGCCUGUGUCUCUGCCUCUCUCUGUGUGUCUCU